GGUUGUGGCUCAGAGGAAAAGCGCUCGCCUAGCAUGUGUGAGGCACUGAGUUCAAUCCCCAGCACCA
rnacentral:tRNA from 1 species